rnacentral:rRNA from 1 species
UUGGAGGGCAAGUCUGGUGCCAGCAGCCGCGGUAAUUCCAGCUCCAAUAGCGUAUAUUAAAGUUGUUGCAGUUAAAAAGCUCGUAGUUGAAUUUCGGAGUUUGUCGGUUGGUCGGGCUCCAUUGUCCGCACUGGCCUGAUGGAUUCCUACCUUCUGAAUAACCAGCAUGCUAUUAAGUUAGUGCGUUGGGGAAGCAGAGCUAUUACCUUGAAAAAAUUAGAGUGCUUAAAGCGGGCUUAUGCUUGAAUAGAUUAGCAUGGAAUAAUAAAAUAGGACGGCAUGGUUCUAUUUUGUUGGUUUCUAGGAUCACCGUAAUGAUUAAUAGGGAUAGUUGGGGGCAUUAGUAUUCAAUUGUCAGAGGUGAAAUUCUUGGAUUUAUUGAAGACUAACUUCUGCGAAAGCAUUUGCCAAGGAUGUUUUCAUUAAUCAAGAACGAAAGUUAGGGGAUCGAAGACGAUCAGAUACCGUCGUAGUCUUAACCAUAAACUAUGCCGACUAGGGAUCGGACGAUGUUAAUUUUUUAAUGACUCGUUCGGCGCCUUACGGGAAAC